GGAGGAGUGGCCGAGUGGUUUAAGGCGGCGGUCUUGAAAACCGCUGUACCGUAAGGUACCGGGGGUUCGAAUCCCUCCUCCUCCG
rfam:Phycisphaerae bacterium SM23_30 WORSMTZ_17666, whole genome shotgun sequence.